rnacentral:rRNA from 11 species
CCCCGAAAUGCAUUUAGGUGCAGCCUUGGAGUUGAGUUUACUAGAGGUAGAGCGACUGGUUGGAUGCGGGGGCUUCAUCGCCUACCAAAUCCUGUCAAACUCCGAAUGCUAGUAAAUAUAUCCAGGAGUGAGGGCAUGGGUGCUAAGGUCCAUGUCCGAGAGGGAAAGAACCCAGACCAUCUGCUAAGGUCCCCAAAUGUAUGCUAAGUUGAUCAAACGUGGUCUGAUUGCUUUGACAGCUAGGAUGUUGGCUUGGAAGCAGCCA